AUGUUGAGGAGCGAUGCGGCGAGGAGGUGAAUAGGCGAGGGCGGCUGA
rnacentral:snoRNA from 1 species